rnacentral:tRNA from 1 species
GACAUUGUGUCUGAUUAAAAGUAGUAAACUGUAAAUUUACUUAUGAGAUCUAGUUUCUCUUAUGUCA